AGCGAACGCUGGCGGCAGGCCUAACACAUGCAAGUCGAACGGAUCCUUCGGGAUUAGUGGCGGACGGGUGAGUAACACGUGGGAACGUGCCCUUUGGUUCGGAACAACUCAGGGAAACUUGAGCUAAUACCGGAUGUGCCCUUCGGGGGAAAGAUUUAUCGCCAUUGGAGCGGCCCGCGUCUGAUUAGCUAGUUGGUGAGGUAACGGCCCACCAAGGCGACGAUCAGUAGCUGGUCUGAGAGGGUGAUCAGCCACACUGGGACUGAGACACGGCCCAGACUCCUACGGGAGGCAGCAGUGGGGAAUCUUGCGCAAUGGGCGAAAGCCUGACGCAGCCAUGCCGCGUGAAUGAUGAAGGUCUUAGGAUUGUAAAAUUCUUUCAGCGGGGACGAUAAUGACGGUACCCGCAGAAGAAGCUCCGGCUAACUUCGUG
rnacentral:rRNA from 1 species